AUCCGGCUGACGAGUCCUCAGUAGGACGAAGUGCGCAUCGUGGAU
rfam:Schistosoma mansoni strain Puerto Rico chromosome 1, complete genome